GUGGAGUUGCCAGUAUAUGUAUGUUUCUCUCUCUCUCUCUCUCUCUCUCUCUCUGUGUGUGUGUGUGUGUGUGAGAGAGAGAGAGAGAGAGAGAGAGAUCUAACAAGAAAGCAUGUAUAAUACAGCUG